rnacentral:rRNA from 1 species
UAUUGCACAAUGGGCGCAAGCCUGAUGCAGCCAUGCCGCGUGUGUGAAGAAGGCCUUCGGGUUGUAAAGCACUUUCAGCGAGGAGGAAGGGUUCAGUGUUAAUAGCACUGUGCAUUGACGUUACUCGCAGAAGAAGCACCGGCUAACUCCGUGCCAGCAGCCGCGGUAAUACGGAGGGUGCAAGCGUUAAUCGGAAUUACUGGGCGUAAAGCGCACGCAGGCGGUUUGUUAAGUCAGAUGUGAAAUCCCCGAGCUAACUUGGAACUGCAUUUAAACUGGCAAGCAGAGUCUUGAAGGGGGGAGAUUCCAGGUGAGCGGUAAAUGCGAGAAAUCUGAGAAUCCGGUGCAAGCGCCCCCUGGCAAACUGCGUAUGUGAAA